AUUGAACGCUGGCGGCAGGCCUAACACAUGCAAGUCGAACGAGUGGCGGACGGGUGAGUAAUGUCUGGGAAACUGCCUGAUGGAGGGGGAUAACUACUGGAAACGGUAGCUAAUACCGCAUACAAUACGAUGUGCCCAAAUGGGAUUAGCUUGUUGGUGGGGUAAAGGCUCACCAAGGCGACGAUCCCUAGCUGGUCUGAGAGGAUGACCAGCCACACUGGAACGUAGACACGGUCCAGACUCCGACGGGAGGCAGCAGUGGGGAAUAUUGCACAAGGGUCGCAAGCCUGAUGCAGCCAUGCCGCGUGUAUGAAGAAGGCCUUCGGGUUGUAAAGUACUUUCAGCGGGGAGGCGUUACCCGCAGAAGAAGCACCGGCUAACUCCGUGCCAGCAGCCGCGGUAAUUC
rnacentral:rRNA from 1 species